rnacentral:rRNA from 1 species
GAUGAACGCCGGCGGCGUGCCUAAUACAUGCAAGUCGAGCGAACGGACGAGAAGCUUGCUUCUCUGAUGUUAGCGGCGGACGGGUGAGUAACACGUGGAUAACCUACCUAUAAGACUGGGAUAACUUCGGGAAACCGGAGCUAAUACCGGAUGAUAUUUUGAACCGCAUGGUUCAAAAGUGAAAGACGGUCUUGCUGUCACUUAUAGAUGGAUCCGCGCUGCAUUAGCUAGUUGGUAAGGUAACGGCUUACCAAGGCAACGAUGCAUAGCCGACCUGAGAGGGUGAUCGGCCACACUGGAACUGAGACACGGUCCAGACUCCUACGGGAGGCAGCAGUAGGGAAUCUUCCGCAAUGGGCGAAAGCCUGACGGAGCAACGCCGCGUGAGUGAUGAAGGUCUUCGGAUCGUAAAACUCUGUUAUUAGGGAAGAACAUAUGUGUAAGUAACUGUGCACAUCUUGACGGUACCUAAUCAGAAAGCCACGGCUAACUACGUG